rnacentral:pre_miRNA from 1 species
CAGGGUGACCAACUGUCCCGGUUUGCCUGGGACUGUCCCUGUUUCAACACUGAAAGUCUCACAUCAUGGAAAAAUUCUCAGUCUCAGACAAACCAAGACAGUUGGUCACCCUGGAAAGGA